CCUCGAGUGUCUCGCCAAUUAUCUUUCACGGCUAACCUGUAAGAAAAUGUGAAUAUUCACCUUGACGUUCCCCAUUGUGUUGUAAAAUCUCGUGGGAAAUGUAAUCGUAGCUUCCGUUAAAAAAUGUACAAAUAUUUCAUUCCAAUAAGUAGUCAAUAGUAUAGAAUGCACCGAUACCAUAGAACGUAUUUAGAACGCGAUGCAGUUUGUCGUUGCAGCUGUGCGAAUAGCUGCUAAGCUACCUCUCGCGUCGCGAUAGUCUUGAUGGUUCAUUCAUGUUCGUACGGGUUUCUAGUUCGUGCAUUCAAAACGUUUCUUGGAUGAAGAACACAGAUAGGUUAAUUUCAGUAAGCAUCUUGAUCGCUCAAGUCGAAGGACACUCGAUUGCGCAUAAUCUGCAACGCGCAUACGCAGCGUUGCUUCUGGCGGGACGCAAUUUCAAAACGCCAUCUGAUUGUGAAUUCGGUUGUCUCGUGACGCGACCGACGCGGCAGGUGUUUGGUUAACAUCUCGUAAGAUGAUUGUUACGACAAUUUUAAAUUUACAAUGUUCAAUUUAGUAGAAACGAGUUAGAUUUCCGUGAGGAGCGUCUUGGUUUCUCGCGCAUCCGGUGAUGAAGUGAGUAAGAGAAACCAAAGAAAAUGAGGUUAAGUGAUAAAAUGCAGACUACGCUGCCGCGACGAGGGACCGAAUAGCUUCGUCGGAACACCGCACACGAUGCCAAUCUAAAUUACAGGAAUCGAUUGGGAAUUUUGUAGAUGACCGGUUGGACGGUAGAAAUGUCAGAAGGAUUUUUCGAACGAACGGAAGUAGAAUUCGGAAUCACCGCGAACUAAUCCGGAGCAGCUUUCAUCCUCGGUUCCUGGCCGAGAGAAAUUUCAUUAAAAUCCGAAGCAACCGACGAAACGAAAUCUAUCCAGUGGCUCGUGUUACUUACUGUCCACGAUAGCAACAGGUCGUGGGACGCGGAUUCCGCCGAGAUCGAAGGAAAAAUUCGAAAAAUCGGGUUUCCAUACGGUCCGCGACACACUCGCCAUGAAUUAACUGCGGCCGCGGCGUGUCGAAAUAUCCCAGGGAAAUUCGAUGGACGGCGACUCGGACUCCCGAAGGUCAAACAGUGAUUAAUACGCGGCCGAAAAUGUUCAUUGCUGGCCGGCUAUUUAUUGACGACUGAAUCAACUUGUCGAAUUACUGUGACUUAUUGAUUUCAUUAAACGGACACGCAAGGAUGGUUGAUUACGAAAUUGCGUUCGCAUUACUACCUCUCGGCCUUUACUGCAGGAUUUACAAGCUUGCCGCACGUGGAUCUCAUUUUACAAGUCGCAGCCGUAACGAGAGCAUAAAUAAACUCCUCCAUUCUGUUGUCUGCGAACGACAUGCCACGAAAGAAUAUUGUCACCGUUGCUCCGGUGUUACGCGCGACGAGCCGAAGAAAAUAUUCACGGAGUUCUCGGCGCAGCCGUCGGAGUGUUAACAUCGAUCAAAAGACAUACACAAUUUACAAUUGUAUUCUCUCUUCGUCCAGCCCCUGUUAUCGAUCGGUCCAAACAGUUCGUGCGAAUGUACUAAUAUUGCGACGUUCUUCUCGAAUCGUGUCAACUUUUACAAUCCGCAUGCCCGAAGAAUUGGAGGACAGCGUUUAACCGGGGCACGGUCAGCGAAGAAAAACCGAGCUUAGGAUCGUCAGCCCUUUGAUUCGCGUCAGCCGGAGCGCAGAUCGCGUUGGUAAGUUCGAAUUAAAGCGGGGAUCCUUUUAUUCAAUUCGCCGCGGCGUUCCCGCAUUAACCUUGUCCUUAGCGGCGCGGCGAUUAACGCGUUAAAAGCACCAUUUUGGGCCACGCGAGAGGAGGACACCGCGUCGCCGGCUCUCAUUCUACGGACUUUACUAAUAUCCCUAAGUGCAUCGUCAGCCGCUUGAUGCAGCGUUGCACAAGCUCUGAUACUCUGCACUCUGGGGUUCACUUACUUUUUCCCGUCCUUCUCCCUCUCACGGCCGUGUUCCUCCCGUUCUUUUUCAUCGGUUCAUACUUCUGCCGCUCUCCGUCGUUCCCUUUCAACUCGCCUCGUUCUGUCCCGCGUCUCGCCCCUCGAUUCUAACAGCAACGUGCUGCCUCUGCACGCGGGUGUACGCGCGUACCCGCUUCACCCGCUACGCCCACGCCCGGUUCACCCGCCUCGCUCGUUCGCGCUACCCGCUCGCGCUAGGCGGCGGCUGCUCUCGAGAUCCCCACUUCUCAUGAUUACUUCCGAUUUUAUCCUAGACACAGAAAUUGUGGUGGUAUGCCCACGGUUUCCCAAAGAAUGGUAAUAUAAAGUAGUGCACCUGUGUUUUCUCCGACGCAGAAAGGAAAGAAAAGGGUGGAAAGCGUAGCGCCGGCUGGAACGCCGCCGCGCGAAAGAAUAAAGACACGGGGAUGCCGAACGCGACGGAGAGAAAGAGAGAAGCGAGACAGAGCGAGAGAGGGUAGAACACGGCGCGAGAAAAAGAGAGAGAGAGUCCGACGAGAGAGAGACGGAAACAUCGCGAAUGGUACGCCUUGAACGUGUUGUACCGCGACCUUCCUUUCUCUCGAACUUCCCCUCUCGUUCUCGUUCUCAUUCUGGUUUUCUUGUCGCAAAAAUCCCGUUCGCAACACUUCCUACCUGUUAAUGGCGGCUCUUUUCCGCAUUGUCCGCGCGAAACCUCGAAAAACUAUCGCCCUUCCGCCGAACGCGAAAGGAGAAACGUCUACAGAUCUUCACCUGCUGUUAUUUCCCUUCUCUCGAACCCACGUCACUCGUCGGUCUACAAUGUGGUGCAUUCGAAGCAUGACGAACAAUAUCGUCUGCUUAAUCCUUAAACUGAUUGCCAAUUACUGCCGACUAUUCUUCCGAUAAACUUUGCGCAUUCUCGAGUCAGUAAGUGCAAGUAAAUUUACGUUGAAGCAUGAUAAGCUGAUAGAGGAUUACGUGAAUUUUCACAUAAUUACAUUAUCGUAUAUUAAUUAUAAUCAGGUUAAGAGUUGAAACAAGCCGAAGAAUGAGUGUCAACGUAGUCGUUUUCAAUCGCAUUCUUCACGAAUUUAACAAGACAACACGU